rnacentral:rRNA from 1 species
UACGUAGGGUGCAAGCGUUAAUCGGAAUUACUGGGCGUAAAGCGUGCGCAGGCGGUUGUGCAAGACCGAUGUGAAAUCCCCGGGCUUAACCUGGGAAUGGCAUUGGUGACUGCACGGCUAGAGUGUGUCAGAGGGGGGGUAGAAUUCCACGUGUAGCAGUGAAAUGCGUAGAGAUGUGGAGGAAUACCGAUGGCGAAGGCAGCCCCCUGGGAUAACACUGACGCUCAU